rnacentral:rRNA from 1 species
CAGCCGCCGCGGUAAUACGUAGGGGGCGAGCGUUACCCGGAUUCACUGGGCGUAAAGGGGGUGUAGGCGGCUCGGUAAGUCGGGUGUGAAAUCCCACGGCUCAACCGUGGAAUUGCGCCCGAAACUGCCGAGCUUGGGGCCGGUAGAGGGAGACGGAACUGCCGGUGUAGGGGUGAAAUCCGUAGAUAUCGGCAGGAACGCCGGUGGGGAAGCCGGUCUCCUGGGCCGCGCCCGACGCUGAGGCCCGAAAGCUAGGGGAGCAAACCGGAUUAGAUACCCGGGUAGUCCUAGCCGUAAACGAUGCCCACUAGGUGUGGGGGAGUAUUUCCUCCGUGCUGUAGCUAACGCGUUAAGUGGGCCGCCUUGGGAGUACGCCCGCAAGGGUGAAACUUAAAGGAAUUGGCGGG